AUGAAUGCUUUCCGGGAUGCACUAAUGUUCUGUGGGUUAGUAGACCUGGGGUUCGUUGGUGUACCCUACACCUGUGACAAUAGGAGGGCGGGUUCUGCGAAUGUAAGGGUGCGUUUGGACCGAGCGGUUUCAACAAGCUCUUGGAGAAAUAUGUUCGCAUUUCAUAAUGUACAUCACCUAGCAGCGCCGAGUUCAGACCAUGUGCCACUAUUGCUGAGAGGUACGGUGGACCAUCAACCGAUAAGGAAUACAUGCCGACGUUAUGAGAUCUUCUGGGAGAAUGAUGCUGGGUUGCCGGAGUUAAUUAAAAAUGCAUGGGAAGCUUUUGGUGCUCUUGAAGACCUCGGUCAGGUUAACAAAGCACUCCGGGACACUAUGCAAAUGCUCCAAUCUUGGAGUAGGAAGAAAUUUGGCAAUGUAAUAAGGGAGAUACACAAAACAAGGUCAAAGCUGGAGGAACUCAUGAAUAUGAAUGCAUAUAGGCAAGAAAUCAGGGAGGUUUCAGAUAAACUAAAUGACUUGCUAUAUAAGGAGGAAAUGUUGUGGCUUCAGAGAUCCCGCAUAACAUGGCUAAAAGAGGGGGACCGAAACUCAAAGUUCUUCCACACUAAGGCGGUUUGGAGGGCAAGGAAGAAUAAGAUUAGGGUGCUUCAUGACAGUGAGGGCAAUGAGCAUUCAGAUACACAAACUAUGGGCAACAUGGUCUCUGCUUACUUUCAGGAUAUCUUCACUGCUGAUCCAAACCUUGAUUCUGCUGAAGUUUUGGACCUCUUUAUGUUGGAGAUAUGCCCUAGAGGCAAUCAUGUAUGA
rnacentral:rRNA from 1 species